rnacentral:rRNA from 1 species
GACGAACGCUGGCGGCGUGCCUAAUACAUGCAAGUCGAACGCAUUUUCUUUCACCGUAGCUUGCUACACCGAAAGAAAAUGAGUGGCGAACGGGUGAGUAACACGUGGGUAACCUGCCCAUCAGCGGGGGAUAACACUUGGAAACAGGUGCUAAUACCGCAUAAUUCCAUUUACCGCAUGGUAGAUGGAUGAAAGGCGCUUUUGCGUCACUGAUGGAUGGACCCGCGGUGCAUUAGCUAGUUGGUGGGGUAACGGCCUACCAAGGCUGCGAUGCAUAGCCGACCUGAGAGGGUGAUCGGCCACACUGGGACUGAGACACGGCCCAGACUCCUACGGGAGGCAGCAGGAGGGAAUCUUCGGCAAUGGACACAAGUCUGACCGAGCAACGCCGCGUGAGUGAAGAAGGUUGUCGGAUCGUAAAACUCUGUUGUUAGAGAAGAACAAGGAUGAGAGUGGAAAGUUCAUCCCUUGACGGUAUCUAACCAGAAAGCCACGGCUAACUACGUG